AACAGUAAAAAACCCGGGCUCAAUCAUAGGCUGCGGAAAAUCUGAAAUUCCAACUCUGCAUAGUCUUUUCGAGUCAUAUGAAAAGAAGAAAUUUUCCUCUGAAAUUUUGAUUUCUUUGUUUUUUUUUAAAAUUUUAUUUUGAUUUUUAGGGGCUGUCAAGUUCUCAACGGAAUUUGAUUCCUUAGCUUUUCUUGGUGGAUUUGCAUUUCAAGAAUAGUAGACAUUUUUUUGUUUUUUUAAGUUUUCGAUUUUUCGACUUUUUAGUUGAAUCUUGAGGAACACUUUAUCGAGUGAAAGGAGAUUAGAAUCGCGGUUCAAGUUUCGAUUCCGAUCUCGUGUUGGAUUUAGUUUCGUGGAAAAUGGCGAAGCGUGGAUAUAAGCUGCAGGAAUUUGUGGCACAUACCGCAAAUGUGAAUUGUCUAAGUAUGGGAAAAAAGACACGUAGGCUUCUUAUUACAGGCGGAGAUGAUCAUAAAGUCAAUGUUUGGGCAAUUGGGAAACCCACUUCUCUGAUGAGUCUUUGUGGUCAUACUAGUCCAGUGGAAUCUUUAGCUUUUGAUUCGGCAGAAGUCUUGGUGCUUGCUGGAGCAUCUACAGGUGUGAUAAAGCUUUGGGAUCUGGAAGAAACAAAGAUGGUUCGAGGACUAACCGGUCACAGAUCUAAUUGCACUGCCAUGGAAUUCCAUCCAUUUGGUGAGUUCUUUGCAUCUGGUUCCAUGGACACAAAUCUAAAGAUUUGGGAUAUCAGAAAAAAGGGAUGCAUUCACACAUACAAGGGCCAUACUCGAGGCAUUAGUACAAUUAGAUUCACUCCUGAUGGUCGCUGGGUAGUUUCUGGUGGAUUUGAUAAUGUUGUAAAGGUGUGGGAUCUUACUGCUGGAAAACUGUUGCAUGAUUUCAAGUUUCAUGAAGGGCAUAUUCACUCCAUAGAAUUCCAUCCUCUUGAGUUUCUCCUGGCCACAGGUUCAGCAGACAGAACAGUAAAGUUCUGGGAUUUAGAAACCUUUGAACUGAUUGGAUCUUCCAGACCUGAGGCCACAGGGGUUCGCUCAAUUACCUUUCAUCCUGAUGGAAGAACCCUAUUCUGUGGAUUAGAUGAUGAUUUGAAGGUUUAUUCAUGGGAGCCGGUAGUUUGCCAUGAUUCUGUUGAUAUGGGAUGGUCAACGCUUGGUGACCUCUGCAUUAAUGAAGGCAAACUUUUGGGUUGCUCGUUCUAUCGGAAUUCUGUUGGGGUUUGGGUAGCAGAUGUAGCGCAUAUUGAGCCAUAUGGACGAAAUGACCUCACGGAGAAGAAAUUUAAUCUUGAAGGAAGUUAUUCUUUGGAGAAAGCAGGGUGUGGAAUGAGGUCAACUUUGGGAUCACGGCCCAUGUCUCCUGAUUAUGACACAAAGGAAAUAAAGAACAUAUAUGUUGACACUGCUGGCAGUAAUCCUCCUAUUACUUCACAUAAAGCUGGCUCUUUAAAUUCUCCAAAAGUGGUAUUCCCAUUCGAUGCCAGUGAAAUAAGUAAUCUUGCAGCUGAGAAGCAGAGUCCUGGAACAGGUGUUAACGCUAAAUCUAAUGGACAAUCAGGUAACAAGUCUUUUAUCACACCUAGUGCUGUACCACAGGACAGCCCUCUUGGGAAAGACUCUAUCAAUUCCGGAAAAGAAUCUAUCACCUUUUCAAGGACAAAACCAGGCAUGUUGCUCAGACCAGCUCAUGUUAGAAGACCGUCUGUUAACAAGUUCGAGGUUGAAAAGCUGUCAGCUGCAGUUGAAUCAGGAACUCUUAGCAAUACAAAAAGUGCGUUAGACAGCUCAAUGGAUCUGAAUUCUCAAACUAGGCUUGUAUCAGAGGACAGAGCUAGAAAAUCCUGUGAUGAAAAGGAUUCAAACAUCAAGAGUGUUACAGAGAAAUCUGAAAAGAAGUUAUCAGCAAAGACACCCCCUAAUCAAGAAACUUGUAAUGAAUCCCUCAAUUGCAACAAAGACUCAAACUCUGUCAAAUUUGUCAAUGGAGUGGCUGUUGUUCCAGGGAGAACACGCACUCUGGUUGAGAAGUUCGAACGAAGAGAGAGAUUAAACAGCAGUGGUGAUCCAACAACUAACAGUACAUUGCCUGUGGUACCUGAAACAGAUAGUACACCAGCCAUAAUGAAAGGAGGGACACAAAUCUCUGAAGCACAAUCAAUCUCUGCCAAUGAUGGGAAAAGUGCUGAAAGUCUAAUUUCUAGAACAAAAUCAACUUCUGGCUCUGAGGGAAGCAUUACUGGAAGUCAGAUUCCUAGGAGGGAAUCAAACCCCACUUCUGAUGGGAUCAUUACUGGAGAUCAAAUUUCUAGAAGGGAAUUAACUGUCACCCCUGAUAGGAUCAUUACUGGAAAUCAAAUUUCUAGAAAGGAAUCAACCAUCACCCCUGAUAGGAUCAUUCCUGGAAAUCAGAUUUCUAGAAGGGAACCAAACUCUUCUCCAUCUGGUGGCAUCUUUACUGGAAGUCAAAUUUCUAGAAGGGAGUCAACCUCUGCUUCCGAUGGGAUUAUUGCUGGAAACCAAAUUUCUAGAAGGGAAUCAACUUCUGUUUCUGAUGGGAUCAUUUCUAGAAGGGAAGCAACCUAUGCUAAUGAUAGGAAUGGACCAAGUGGUUCUAUUACUGAAAAUCAAAUUUCUAGGAGGGGAUUGAGUUCUGCUAAUGAUGUGAAUGUCACUAUUAUUGAAAGCCAAAUUUCAAAGGGGGAAUCAAUCUCUGCUAAUGAUGGAAACAUAACUGAAAGUCUGAUGCAAACACAUGAUUCAUUCUUAAGCACUCUUCGAUCACGCUUGACAAAGUUGCAGGUGGUGCGGCAUUUUUGGGAAAAGAAUGACAUUAAAGGUGCAAUUGGUGCCUUGCGGAAGCUACCAGAUCAUUCUGUGGGUAUUUAUGGGAAGAUUUCAUGUGCAAGCAGAUGUAAUCAGUGUUCUCAUGGAAAAAAUGGAGAUUCUCACCUUAGAUCUGUUUUCUGGCCUAAUUCCUGUGCUUAUGGGCUUAUUAGAUAGCAAAAUGGAAAGGCAUGUAAAUGUCUCAUUGGAGAUGCUCCUGAAGCUUGUAGCAGUUUUUGGUCCAAUGAUACGCUCUACUGUUUCAGCCCGACGUGGUGUUGGCGUUGAUCUUCAUGCUGAGCAGAGGCGGGAAUGUUGCAAUCAAUGUUUUAUGCAGCUGCAAAAGAUUCAGAAACUUCUUCCACCACUUGUAAGGAGAGGUGGUGCCAUAGCAAGAUGUGCCGAGGAAUUGAAUUUAGUUCUUCAAGAAUGAUGAUGAAUGCCGCCAUCUUAAACCCAUCUGCUGCUGAAGCAUGAAAAAGAGUGGCUGGGCUGACACCUUCUUAUAAAGAUUCAAGUGUCAUAGAAGGCCUUUUCUUUUCUGUAUCUUACAUCUUGGAUACACAAUUUUGUCUUUGCCACCUUACUUCAUCCUGCUCUGCCCGCGUUUGCCGGUACCGGACUGCUUUAGCUUGAGUCAGUAUCAUUGCCUGUAACCCGUCACGUUUUGAAGAUGGAAGAAGCCAGCCUGUGAACCUCACAAUGCUUCUGGUACACCACGGAAAUUUCCUUUUGUCAUUCUUUGAUUCAGUAUAGUGCUGUUUGUAAUCUUCGUGUUAAAAAUAUAUGUGAGCAUAUCCCAAUGCAAAUAUACUCUGCGAUAAUAUCCAAUGAAAUAUAUCAAUUCCUUGAAAGCUUCUUUUUCCUAGA